rnacentral:rRNA from 1 species
AUUGAACGCUGGCGGCAGGCCUAACACAUGCAAGUCGGACGGUAGCACAGAGAGCUUGCUCUCGGGUGACGAGCGGCGGACGGGUGAGUAAUGUCUGGGAAACUGCCUGAUGGAGGGGGAUAACUACUGGAAACGGUAGCUAAUACCGCAUAACGUCGCAAGACCAAAGAGGGGGACCUUCGGGCCUCUUGCCAUCAGAUGUGCCCAGAUGGGAUUAGCUAGUAGGUGGGGUAACGGCUCACCUAGGCGACGAUCCCUAGCUGGUCUGAGAGGAUGACCAGCCACACUGGAACUGAGACACGGUCCAGACUCCUACGGGAGGCAGCAGUGGGGAAUAUUGCACAAUGGGCGCAAGCCUGAUGCAGCCAUGCCGCGUGUAUGAAGAAGGCCUUCGGGUUGUGAAGUACUUUCAGCGGGGAGGAAGGUGUUGAGGUUAAUAACCUCAGCAAUUGACGUUACCCGCAGAAGAAGCACCGGCUAACUCCGUGCCAGCCGCCGCUGUAA